UACAGAGGUGGCAAGCGUUGUUCGGAAUUACUGGGCGUAAAGGGCGCGUAGGCGGCCUUCUAAGUCAGACGUGAAAUCCCCCGGCUUAACCUGGGAACUGCGUCUGAUACUGGGAGGCUAGAGUAUGGGAGAGGGAUGUAGAAUUCCAGGUGUAGCGGUGAAAUGCGUAGAUAUCUGGAGGAACACCGGUGGCGAAGGCGGCAUCCUGGACCAACACUGACGCUGAGUGAGCGAAAGCCAGGGGAGCAAACAGG
rnacentral:rRNA from 1 species